UACGUAGGGGGCAAGCGUUGUCCGGAUUCAUUGGGCGUAAAGAGCGUGUAGGCGGCCAGGUAGGUCGGUUGUGAAAACUGGAGGCUCAACCUUCAGAGGUCGACCGAAACCAUCUGGCUAGAGUCCGGGAGAGGAGAGUGGAAUUCCGGGUGUAGCGGUGGAAUGCGUAGAGAUCCGGAAGAACACCGGUGGCGAAGGCGGCCUGCUGGGGUAGAGCUGACACUGAGGCGCGACAGCGUGGGGAGCAAACAGG
rnacentral:rRNA from 1 species